rnacentral:rRNA from 1 species
UACGUAGGGUGCAAGCGUUAAUCGGAAUUACUGGGCGUAAAGCGUGCGCAGGCGGCUUUGCAAGACAGACGUGAAAUCCCCCGGCUUAACCUGGGAACUGCGUCUGAUACUGGACGGCUGGAGUUUGGGAGAGGGAUGUAGAAUUCCAGGUGUAGCGGUGAAAUGCGUAGAUAUCUGGAGGAAUACCGGUGGCGAAGGCGGCAUCCUGGACCAAUACUGACGCUGAGGCGCGAAAGCUAGGGGAGCAAACGGG